rnacentral:rRNA from 1 species
GCAUGUGCACGCUCUGUUUACACAUCCACUCACACCUGUGCACCCUCUGUAGUUCUAUGGCCUGGGUGGGCUCUGUCCUCCUGCUGUAGUUCUACGUCUUUACACACACACUACAACAAAGUAUCAUGGAAUGUAUGCCGCGUUUAACGCAACGAAAUACAACUUUCAGCAACGGAUCUCUUGGCUCUCGCAUCGAUGAAGAACGCAGCGAAAUGCGAUAAGUAAUGUGAAUUGCAGAAUUCAGUGAAUCAUCGAAUCUUUGAACGCACCUUGCGCCCUUUGGCUAUUCCGAAGGGCAUGCCUGUUUGAGUAUCAUGAACACCUCAACUCUCGUGGCUUGCCAUGAUGAGCUUGGACUUUGGGGGUCUUGUUGGUCUGUGAGCCAGCUCCUCUUAAAUGAAUUAGCUUGCCGGUGUUUGGUGGCGUCACAGGUGUGAUAACUAUCUACGCUUGUGGUUUCCCACCAGGUAACCUUCAGCAAUGGAGGUUCACUGGAGCUUAUAAACGUCUCUCCUAUGUGAGGACACAUUUUGACCAUUUGAUCUCAUAUCAGGUAGGACUACCCGCUGAACUUAAGCAUAUCA